UGACGGACAUAUCACGUGGAAACACUGCUUCCCGUACAAUCACAAAAGUUAAGCAACGUCGAUUCUGGUCAGUACCUAAAUGGUUGACCACUUGGGAAUACCAGGUCCUGUAAG